rnacentral:rRNA from 1 species
UACGAAGGGUGCAAGCGUUACUCGGAAUUACUGGGCGUAAAGCGUGCGUAGGUGGUGAGUUAAGUCUGUCGUGAAAGCCCCGGGCUCAACCUGGGAAUGGCGAUGGAUACUGGCUCGCUAGAGUGCGGUAGAGGAGAGUGGAAUUCCCGGUGUAGCAGUGAAAUGCGUAGAGAUCGGGAGGAACACCGGUGGCGAAGGCGGGUCUCUGGGCCGUAACUGACGCUGAGGAGCGAAAGCAUGGGGAGCGAACAGG